rnacentral:tRNA from 1 species
AUAUUCUAAAGUUUAUAACUAUCCUAAUAUCUUCAAUAUUAUACUUUAACUUAAGCUAUUAAAAUU